UACGGAGGGUGCAAGCGUUAUCCGGAUUCACUGGGUUUAAAGGGUGCGUAGGUGGGUCUGUAAGUCCGUGGUGAAAUCUCCCAAGGCUUAACUUGGAAACUGCCAUGGAUACUAUAGGUCUUGAAUACCGUGGAGGUGAGCGGAAUAUGUCAUGUAGCGGUGAAAUGCUUAGAUAUGACAUAGAACACCAAUUGCGAAGGCAGCUCACUACACGAAUAUUGACACUGAGGCACGAAAGCGUUGGGGAUCAAACAGGG
rnacentral:rRNA from 1 species